rnacentral:rRNA from 1 species
UACGGAGGAUGCGAGCGUUAUCCGGAUUUAUUGGGUUUAAAGGGUGCGCAGGCGGAAUGUCAAGUCAGCGGUAAAAUUUCGGGGCUCAACCCCGUCGUGCCGUUGAAACUGACACCCUUGAGUGAGUGAGAAGUAAGCGGAAUGCGUGGUGUAGCGGUGAAAUGCAUAGAUAUCACGCAGAACCCCGAUUGCGAAGGCAGCAUACCGGUGCACAACUGACGCUCAGGCACGAAAGCGUGGGUAUCGAACAGG